AACAAGGCUUGCUGGGCGGAUUAGUGGCGAACGGGUGAGUAACACGUGAGUAACCUGCCCCUGACUCUGGGAUAAGCGUUGGAAACGACGUCUAAUACUGGAUAUGACUGCCGGCCGCAUGGUCUGGUGGUGGAAAGAUUUUUUGGUUGGGGAUGGACUCGCGGCCUAUCAGCUUGUUGGUGAGGUAAUGGCUCACCAAGGCGACGACGGGUAGCCGGCCUGAGAGGGUGACCGGCCACACUGGGACUGAGACACGGCCCAGACUCCUACGGGAGGCAGCAGUGGGGAAUAUUGCACAAUGGGCGAAAGCCUGAUGCAGCAACGCCGCGUGAGGGAUGACGGCCUUCGGGUUGUAAACCUCUUUUAGUAGGGAAGAAGGGAGCUUGCUCUUGACGGUACCUGCAGAAAAAGCACCGGCUAACUACGUGCCAGCAGCCGCGGUAAUACGUAGGGUGCAAGCGUUGUCCGGAAUUAUUGGGCGUAAAGAGCUCGUAGGCGGUUUGUCGCGUCUGCUGUGAAAUCCCGAGGCUCAACCUCGGGCUUGCAGUGGGUACGGGCAGACUAGAGUGCGGUAGGGGAGAUUGGAAUUCCUGGUGUAGCGGUGGAAUGSNGCAGAUAUCAGGAGGAACACCGAUGGCGAAGGCAGAUCUCUGGGCCGUAACUGACGCUGAGGAGCGAAAGCAUGGGGAGCGAACAGGAUUAGAUACCCUGGUAGUCCAUGCCGUAAACGUUGGGCGCUAGAUGUAGGGACCUUUCCACGGUUUCUGUGUCGUAGCUAACGCAUUAAGCGCCCCGCCUGGGGAGUACGGCCGCAAGGCUAAAACUCAAAGGAAUUGACGGGGGCCCGCACAAGCGGCGGAGCAUGCGGAUUAAUUCGAUGCAACGCGAAGAACCUUACCAAGGCUUGACAUACACCGGAAACGGCCAGAGAUGGUCGCCCCCUUGUGGUCGGUGUACAGGUGGUGCAUGGUUGUCGUCAGCUCGUGUCGUGAGAUGUUGGGUUAAGUCCCGCAACGAGCGCAACCCUCGUUCUAUGUUGCCAGCGCGUUAUGGCGGGGACUCAUAGGAGACUGCCGGGGUCAACUCGGAGGAAGGUGGGGAUGACGUCAAAUCAUCAUGCCCCUUAUGUCUUGGGCUUCACGCAUGCUACAAUGGCCGGUACAAAGGGCUGCGAUACCGUAAGGUGGAGCGAAUCCCAAAAAGCCGGUCUCAGUUCGGAUUGAGGUCUGCAACUCGACCUCAUGAAGUCGGAGUCGCUAGUAAUCGCAGAUCAGCAACGCUGCGGUGAAUACGUUCCCGGGCCUUGUACACACCGCCCGUCAAGUCAUGAAAGUCGGUAACACCCGAAGCCGGUG
rnacentral:rRNA from 1 species